UUCUGUUUCCCUUAUGACACACGCAGAAACCUUUAUUACAUACAGACUAAGCACAGUCCGGGACACACUCGGAGCAGACGGUCUCUCAGGGGAAGGCGAUGAUCGGUGGUACCAGCUCCACAAUUAGAGGAGUGGUGUGAGUAGAGCAACACGUCAGCUCCCAUUCCCCACUCUUCGAAGGGAACCAACAGAACAAUUCUGCGAUUACAUCAACAGCACUGCUACUUGUGAUCAGUUAUCAAAAAACGACAUGUGUCUCAGGUUUAUGGCUCAUUCUUCUGCCUUCCCCGAAGAUUACUGAAAUGCAGUCCUAGCAGCAACUGCGCACCCCUCUCAUGGUGACAGUUUUGCUCAAUGUCCACUGAGAAGUAGUUCUGUUGCUAUAAACCAAUGUUGCUUUUCUUGUGAGGCAGUUAUAGGAAGCGCAAGCAAAUGACAGAUGUCAACCAUGGAGAAAGAGCACUAACCCCGGGGGUCUAGGAGGACCGUGGUGUAAACACCGCAUUACACAACAGCAGAGGAAACCUGGAACAGGUGGUUCCCAGGGGCUCUAGGAGAGUUACUUGGCUCAAAUCGCCUUCAUCCUAUGGUCCUAAACUGCAUGUUUUAAGUACAAUUAUCGUCAAAAGAACAACUUACCUUU